CGUUUCGAAAGGAACGCUAAUACCGCAUACGUCCUACGGGAGAAAGCAGGGGACCUUCGGGCCUUGCGCUAUCAGAUGAGCCUAGGUCGGAUUAGCUAGUUGGUGGGGUAAUGGCUCACCAAGGCGACGAUCCGUAACUGGUCUGAGAGGAUGAUCAGUCACACUGGAACUGAGACACGGUCCAGACUCCUACGGGAGGCAGCAGUGGGGAAUAUUGGACAAUGGGCGAAAGCCUGAUCCAGCCAUGCCGCGUGUGUGAAGAAGGUCUUCGGAUUGUAAAGCACUUUAAGUUGGGAGGAAGGGCAGUAAGCUAAUACCUUGCUGUUUUGACGUUACCGACAGAAUAAGCACCGGCUAACUCUGUGCCAGCAGCCGCGGUAAUACAGAGGGUGCAAGCGUUAAUCGGAAUUACUGGGCGUAAAGCGCGCGUANGUGGUUCGUUAAGUUGGAUGUGGAAAGCCCCCGGGCUCAACCUGGGAACUGCAUCCAAAAACUGGGCG
rnacentral:rRNA from 1 species